rnacentral:rRNA from 1 species
CAGCCAGGAUGUUGGCUUAGAAGCAGCCAUCAUUUAAAGAAAGCGUAAUAGCUCACUGGUCGAGUCGGCCUGCGCGGAAGAUGUAACGGGGCUAAACCAUGCACCGAAGCUGCGGCAGCGACGCUUAUGCGUUGUUGGGUAGGGGAGCGUUCUGUAAGCCUGUGAAGGUGUACUGUGAGGUAUGCUGGAGGUAUCAGAAGUGCGAAUGCUGACAUAAGUAACGAUAAAGCGGGUGAAAAGCCCGCUCGCCGGAAGACCAAGGGUUCCUGUCCAACGUUAAUCGGGGCAGGGUGAGUCGACCCCUAAGG